rnacentral:rRNA from 1 species
UGGGGAAUAUUGGACAAUGGGCGAAAGCCUGAUCCAGCCAUGCCGCGUGUGUGAAGAAGGUCUUCGGAUUGUAAAGCACUUUAAGUUGGGAGGAAGGGCAGUAAGCGAAUACCUUGCUGUUUUGACGUUACCGACAGAAUAAGCACCGGCUAACUCUGUGCCAGCAGCCGCGGUAAUACAGAGGGUGCAAGCGUUAAUCGGAAUUACUGGGCGUAAAGCGCGCGUAGGUGGUUCGUUAAGUUGAAUGUGAAAGCCCCGGGCUCCACCUGGGAACUGCAUCCAAAACUGGCGAGCUAGAGUAGGGCAGAGGGUGGUGGAAUUUCCUGUGUAGCGGUGAAAUGCGUAGAUAUAGGAAGGAACACCAGUGGCGAAGGCGACCACCUGGGCUCAUACUGACACUGAGGUGCGAAAGCGUGGGGAGCAAACAGG